rnacentral:lncRNA from 1 species
GAGGAGGAGGACAAGAAGAGGAGAAGAAUAAGAGGAGUAGGAGGAGGAGGAGGAGAAGAAAAAGAAGAAGAAGAGGAGAAGAAAAAAAUAAGAAGGAGAAGAAGAAGAAAAAGAAGAAGAAGAGAAGAAAAAAAUAAGAAGGAGAAGAAGUAAAGAAGAAGAGAAGAAGAGAAUAAGAAAAAAAUAAGAAGGAGAAGCAUUGAAAAAA